AUUGAACGCUGGCGGCAUGCCUUACACAUGCAAGUCGAACGGCAGCACGGGAGCAAUCCUGGUGGCGAGUGGCGAACGGGUGAGUAAAGUAUCGGAACGUGCCCAGGCGUGGGGGAUAACGUAGCGAAAGUUACGCUAAUACCGCAUACGAUCUAUGGAUGAAAGCGGGGGAUCGCAAGACCUCGCGCGAUUGGAGCGGCCGUUAUCAGAUUAGGUAGUUGGUGGGGUAAAGGCCCACCAAGCCGACGAUCUGUAGCUGGUCUGAGAGGACGACCAGCCACACUGGAGCUGAGACACGGCCCAGAAUCCGACGGGAGGCAGCAGUGGGGAAUGUUGGUCAAUGUGCGAAAGCCUGAUUCAGCCAUGCCGCGUGCAGGAUGAAGGCCUUCGGGUUGUAAACUGCUUUUGUACGGAACGAAAAGGACUGCCCUAAUACGGUGGUCCCAUGACGGUACCGUAAGAAUAAGCACCGGCUAACUACGUGCCAGCAGCCGCAGUAA
rnacentral:rRNA from 1 species